UACGAAGGGGGCUAGCGUUGUUCGGAAUCACUGGGCGUAAAGCGCACGUAGGCGGAUGUGCCAGUCAGGGGUGAAAUCCCGGAGCUCAACUUCGGAACUGCCUCUGAUACAGCACGUCUUGAGUCCGGAAGAGGUGGGUGGAAUUCCCGGUGUAGCGGUGAAAUGUGUAGAGAUCGGGAGGAACACCGGUGGCGAAGGCGGGUCUCUGGGCAAUUCCUGACGCUGAGGCGCGACAGCGUGGGGGAGCAAACAGG
rnacentral:rRNA from 1 species